AUUGAACGCUGGCGGCAGGCCUAACACAUGCAAGUCGAGCGAGCGGCGGACGGGUGAGUACUGUGUGGGUACUGCCCGAUAGAGGGGGAUAACUACUGGAAACGGUAGCUAAUAACGCAUACUAUCGGGUAACCCCUUUGGGGUUGGCUAGUGGGUGAGGUAAUGGCUCACCUAGGCGACGAUCCCUAGCUGGUCUGAGAGGAUGAUCAGCCACACUGGGACUGAGACACGGCCCAGACUCCUACGGAGGCAGCAGUGGGGAAUAUUGGACAAUGGGCGCAAGCCUGAUGCAGCCAUCCCGCGUGUAUGAUGAAGGCCUUCGGGUUGUAAAGUACUUUUGGCAGAGAAGCGGUAUCUGCAGAAUAAGCACCGGCUAACUACGUGCCAGCAGCCGCGGUAAUAC
rnacentral:rRNA from 1 species